rnacentral:rRNA from 1 species
AUUGAACGCUAGCGGGAUGCUUUACACAUGCAAGUCGAACGGCAGCGCGGACUUCGGUCUGGCGGCGAGUGGCGAACGGGUGAGUAAUGUAUCGGAACGUGCCCAGUAGCGGGGGAUAACUACGCGAAAGCGUAGCUAAUACCGCAUACGCCCUACGGGGGAAAGCAGGGGAUCGUAAGACCUUGCACUAUUGGAGCGGCCGAUAUCGGAUUAGCUAGUUGGUGAGGUAACGGCUCACCAAGGCGACGAUCCGUAGCUGGUUUGAGAGGACGACCAGCCACACUGGGACUGAGACACGGCCCAGACUCCUACGGGAGGCAGCAGUGGGGAAUUUUGGACAAUGGGGGCAACCCUGAUCCAGCCAUCCCGCGUGUGCGAUGAAGGCCUUCGGGUUGUAAAGCACUUUUGGCAGGAAAGAAACGUCGCGGGCCAAUACCCCGUGGAACUGACGGUACCUGCAGAAUAAGCACCGGCUAACUACGUG